rnacentral:tRNA from 1 species
GCUUAGCUGGCUCAGUCAGUAGAGCAUGCAACUCUUAAUCUCAGGGUUGUGAGUUCAAGCCCCACACUGGGCU